rnacentral:rRNA from 1 species
UACAGAGGUCCCAAGCGUUACUGAGAAUCACUGGGUUUAAAGGGUGCGUAGGUGGUCCGUUAAGUCAGUUGUGAAAUCCCCGGGCUCAACCCGGGAACUGCUUCUGAUACUGGCGGACUUGAGGCCAGUAGAGGUCACUGGAACUGACGGUGGAGCGGUGAAAUGCGUAGAUAUCGUUCGGAACACCGAAAGCGAAGGCAGAUCUCUGGGUGCCACCUGACACUGCUAGGACGAAAGCGUGGGGAGCGAAUGGG